UACGGGGGGAGCAAGCGUUGUUCGGAUUUACUGGGCGUAAAGGGCGCGUAGGCGGCUUGACAAGUCACUUGUGAAAUCUCCGGGCUUAACUCGGAACGGCCAAGUGAAACUGUCAUGCUAGAGUGCAGAAGGGGCAAUCGGAAUUCCUGGUGUAGCGGUGAAAUGCGCAGAUAUCAGGAGGAACACCGGUGGCGAAGGCGGGUCUCUGGGCCGAUACUGACGCUGAGGAGCGAAAGCGUGGGGAGCGAACAGG
rnacentral:rRNA from 1 species